UACAGAGGGUGCAAACGUUGCUCGGAUUUACUGGGCGUAAAGCGCGUGUAGGCGGGCGUGCAAGUCGGAUGUGAAAUCCCUGGGCUCAACCCAGGAACUGCAUUCGAAACUGCACGUCUAGAGUGAUGGAGAGGAAAGUAGAAUUCCCGGUGUAGAGGUGAAAUUCGUAGAUAUCGGGAGGAAUACCAGUGGCGAAGGCGGCUUUCUGGACAUCUACUGACGCUGAGACGCGAAAGCGUGGGGAGCAAACAGG
rnacentral:misc_RNA from 1 species